UGUCACGUAAGUGACGCGGUAGAGGAGCGUUCUGUAAGCCUGUGAAGGUGAGUUGAGAAGCUUGCUGGAGGUAUCAGAAGUGCGAAUGCUGACAUGAGUAACGACAAUGGGUGUGAAAAACACCCACGCCGAAAGACCAAGGGUUCCUGCGCAACGUUAAUCGACGCAGGGUUAGUCGGUUCCUAAGGCGAGGCUGAAAAGCGUAGUCGAUGGGAAACAGGUUAAUAUUCCUGUACUUCUGGUUACUGCGAUGGAGGGACGGAGAAGGCUAGGCCAGCUUGGCGUUGGUUGUCCAAGUUUAAGGUGGUAGGCUGAAAUCUUAGGUAAAUCCGGGGUUUCAAGGCCGAGAGCUGAUGACGAGUCGUCUUUUAG
rnacentral:rRNA from 1 species